CGCCGGGGCCGCGAGCGUGCGAGCAUCCGCUCUCCAGGAGCCGCGGGGCGGCUUCCCCAGCUCCAGGCUGCGAGGCCGCGCGGUCCGCGGGCGCCCGGGCCCUCCCUUUCUCCAGCCCGGGCUGGAGUCCCUGCCCCGGGGGGCGGAGAGGAGGACUGAGACCCAGCAUGGGACCGGGGCUGCCGGCCACAGAGGCAGCUCCUGCUGCGCAUGAGACAUCCUGCUCCCACCAGCACCCAGCGACAUCCUGGACCAGGAAGCGGUGGCUUUGAGGAAAGGGAACAGGGAGGAAGCAGAAGAGGAGGCGGAGAGUCUUGAGAAUGUACCUGCCGAGGCUUACCUUCCAGCAGGUCCUGAUGCAGGAAGGACCCUUCACCGCAGAACAUCAUUGUGCCUCUGAUGUCCACCUGAGCAAGAAUGAGCCUCGUGGCUGUUGGAGGCGUGGGUAUCAUUGCUUACCAGGAGCAAAACACAACAGGCCCUAGAUGGCUGUUUUCCCAGGAGGCUCCAUCAGGCUCAGCGGCUGGGGGCUGGGAGAGAGCCCAGGGCAGGGACUGUGCCACCUGCCGGCCCCCAAGACGCCUGCUGGCCUCUGUGCACUUCCCAAGGGGAGAACAAGAGCGAGACCUAGUCACCGAAGCCACAGCUGAGGAUAUGGAAACGGGAAAGGGGGACGUAAGGGCCCAUGCACUUGGCAGUUCUCUUUAUUUCUGAAUAAAAGAUAAUUCGAAGGACCCAGUGGUGGUGUGUGUGUCUGUUCACCAGUGGACGUGCACCGGAACGUUUUCACAGUGAAACCAGAAACCGCCAGGCCCGCCAGCGGGAGAUUGGAUCUCUGAUGGCAGCCUGUUCUGCUGGAAGCUUCUGGGGCACCAAGUGUGAGCACAGACAGGGCGGCAAGAGAAAGAGACCCAGAGAACAGAGGCCCGAUGCCCUCCACAUACGGUGGGCAAGCGCUCACGUGCUGUUGGGGUGGCAUGAGACAUCGAGGCUGGAAGGGCCCUGGGUGGCUUUUGGGAGCCGGCCCGCCGUGGGUGCUGGUUACACAGGUGCGUUCCAUUCGUAGACAUGCAUAGAUCUGAACACCUGACCUGAGCACUUUUGUGCACGUGUCUGUUAUACUUGGAGAGAAAGUAAAUAUGGAGAGCCUUGCUCCAGGGCGAUCCGUCACGCUUCUACUAAGUGCCCACAAGAGCCAGUGUUUACGGAGCUGCCUGCCCCGUGCUCCUAUGAGCGCCCGCCCGGCCGCGCACUCUCCUCCCCUGACCCCGGCCCGGACCUCCGAGCUGUGCUCCUCCACCUUCAGAGGUGAGGCAAGCAGCCUGGGGGAGGUGCUAGGCCAGGGCCACACAGCAAGCAGCAGGGCUGGGGUUCAGACAGGUGGCUCGGGCUGCUGACCUGGGCACCCCUGCCCUGCAG
rnacentral:lncRNA from 1 species